GUACACGUCGGUUGAAGGCGGUUUUCUUAUUUAGAAUUUUGUUUCUGGCUCAGAUUGAACGCUGGCGGCAUGCCUUACACAUGCAAGUCGAACGGCAGCACGGAGCUUGCUCUGGUGGCGAGUGGCGAACGGGUGAGUAAUAUAUCGGAACGUACCCUAGAGUGGGGGAUAACGUAGCGAAAGUUACGCUAAUACCGCAUACGAUCUAAGGAUGAAAGUGGGGGAUCGCAAGACCUCAUGCUCGUGGAGCGGCCGAUAUCUGAUUAGCUAGUUGGUAGGGUAAAAGCCUACCAAGGCAUCGAUCAGUAGCUGGUCUGAGAGGACGACCAGCCACACUGGAACUGAGACACGGUCCAGACUCCUACGGGAGGCAGCAGUGGGGAAUUUUGGACAAUGGGCGAAAGCCUGAUCCAGCAAUGCCGCGUGAGUGAAGAAGGCCUUCGGGUUGUAAAGCUCUUUUGUCAGGGAAGAAACGGUGAGAGCUAAUAUCUUUUGCUAAUGACGGUACCUGAAGAAUAAGCACCGGCUAACUACGUGCCAGCAGCCGCGGUAAUACGUAGGGUGCAAGCGUUAAUCGGAAUUACUGGGCGUAAAGCGUGCGCAGGCGGUUUUGUAAGUCUGAUGUGAAAUCCCCGGGCUCAACCUGGGAAUUGCAUUGGAGACUGCAAGGCUAGAAUCUGGCAGAGGGGGGUAGAAUUCCACGUGUAGCAGUGAAAUGCGUAGAUAUGUGGAGGAACACCGAUGGCGAAGGCAGCCCCCUGGGUCAAGAUUGACGCUCAUGCACGAAAGCGUGGGGAGCAAACAGGAUUAGAUACCCUGGUAGUCCACGCCCUAAACGAUGUCUACUAGUUGUCGGGUCUUAAUUGACUUGGUAACGCAGCUAACGCGUGAAGUAGACCGCCUGGGAUACCCCAAAUUU
rnacentral:rRNA from 1 species